rnacentral:rRNA from 1 species
GUCUGUGGACAUACCACCCUGGGCCCACUGGUCUCAUCUGAUUUUGCAAACUAAGCAGGGUCUGCUGGUUGGGACUAGAAAGGAAAACUGCAUGUAACCACCAGGUUAUGGUGC